GGGGCUUGUGGCUCAGUGGUAUAGCAUUUGCUUGGUGUGCUGAAGGUCCCAGUUCCAGUCCUUGGUAUCUCCA
rnacentral:tRNA from 1 species